rnacentral:rRNA from 1 species
GAUGAACGCUGGCGGCGUGCCUAAUACAUGCCAGUCGAGCGAACAGAUGAGGAGCUUGCUCCUCUGACGUUAGCGGCGGACGGGUGAGUAACACGUGGAUAACCUACCUAUAAGACUGGGAUAACUUCGGGAAACCGGAGCUAAUACCGGAUAAUAUAUUGAACCGCAUGGUUCAAUAGUGAAAGACGGUUUUGCUGUCACUUAUAGAUGGAUCCGCGCCGCAUUAGCUAGUUGGUAAGGUAACGGCUUACCAAGGCAACGAUGCGUAGCCGACCUGAGAGGGUGAUCGGCCACACUGGAACUGAGACACGGUCCAGACUCCUACGGGAGGCAGCAGUAGGGAAUCUUCCGCAAUGGGCGAAAGCCUGACGGAGCAACGCCGCGUGAGAGAUGAAGGUCUUCGGAUCGUAAAACUCUGUUAUUAGGGAAGAACAAAUGUGUAAGUAACUAUGCACGUCUUGACGGUACCUAAUCAGAAAGCCACGGCUAACUACGUG